UACAGAGGGUGCAAGCGUUGUUCGGAAUUAUUGGGCGUAAAGCGCGUGUAGGCGGCUAGGCAAGUCGGGUGUGAAAGCCCUCAGCUCAACUGAGGAAGUGCGCCCGAAACUGCUUGGCUUGAGUGCCGGAGAGGAUGGCGGAAUACCCCAAGUAGAGGUGAAAUUCGUAGAUAUGGGGUGGAACACCGGUGGCGAAGGCGGCCAUCUGGACGGUAACUGACGCUGAGACGCGAAAGCGUGGGUAGCAAACAGG
rnacentral:rRNA from 1 species